rnacentral:rRNA from 1 species
AGUGAACGCUGGCGGUAGGCCUAACACAUGCAAGUCGAACGGCAGCACAGUAAGAGCUUGCUCUUGCGGGUGGCGAGUGGCGGACGGGUGAAGAAUACAUCGAAAUCUACUUUUUCGUGGGGGAUAACGUAGGGAAACGUACGCUAAUACCGCAUACGACCUACGGGUGAAAUCAGGGGAUCUUCGUACCUUGCGCGAUAGAAUGAGCCGAUGUCUGAUUAGCUAGUUGGCGGGGUAAAGGCCCACCAAGGCGACGAUCCGUAGCUGGUCUGAGAGGAUGAUACGACACAUUGGAACUGAGAAACGGUACAGACACCUACGGGAAGCAGCAGUGGGGAAUAUUAGACAAUGGGCGCAAGCCUGAUACAGCCAUACCGCGUGGGUGAAGAAGGCCUUCGGGUUGUAAAGCCCUUUUGUUGAGAAAGAAGAGCAGCAGGUUAAUACCCCGCUGUUCUGACGGUACCCAAAGAAGAAGCACCGGCUAACUUCGUG